rnacentral:pre_miRNA from 1 species
UGGCAUGCCGCGGUAGUGCCUACGUGUCAGUGGGGACCCACAUGUCAGUUCUGUGUCACCAUAGGAGAAAAUAUGGUUUUUAAUUUUUUAUUUAUUUAUAAAAAAAAAAUUAAAAACCAUAUUUUCUCCUAUGGUGACACAGAACUGACAUGUGGGUCCCCACUGACACGUAGGCGCUACCGUGGCAUGCCA